GCGCUGCGCUGCGCCGCCCGCCGGGCUGCGGCGAGAGCUCAGGACAAGCUUGGCCUCCACAGCCCGAGCGACACUAUAGCCAUAUUUUAGGGAGACAGACACCAAAGAUAUCAAGACCAAAAGAACAUAAGGAACUUGCCCACCAAUUAACUGGCAAAAACCAGCCUCCAACCCACAGUGUCUCUCUCCAAACCAAACACUGACUGCUACUGGACCGCCCACUGAGCCGACAGCUCAUCGAUUCAGCUAGACAUCUAGCCAGCAAGUCCCAGGAAUCCUCCCGGAGAUCUGAACUUGGAUCCUCAUGCUUACGUGGAAUGCUCAGCUGAACCGUCUCCCUCGUCCUACACAUGUCUUUCAUAAGAAUGCCUGCCAUUAGAUCUAGAACCCACAUAGGAAUUAAUAAUCAGUAAUUUGGGCUGGAGGGAUGGCUUAGCAGUUAAGGCAUUUGCCUGCAAAGCCAAAGAACCCAGGUCCUAUUCCCCAGGACCCACGUUAACCAGAUGCACAG